GCACCCGCCAGGCCCGGUGUGGCAGCUGGUGUUGUGAAUCAGGCCGUCGCCAGUCUAAGAACGGCUACUUCACA
ensembl:miRNA